rnacentral:rRNA from 1 species
GACGAACGCUGGCGGCGUGCUUAACACAUGCAAGUCGAACGAAGAGCGAUGGAAGCUUGCUUCUAUCAAUCUUAGUGGCGAACGGGUGAGUAACGCGUAAUCAACCUGCCCUUCAGAGGGGGACAACAGUUGGAAACGACUGCUAAUACCGCAUACGAUCUGACCUCGGCAUCGAGGAUAGAUGAAAGGUGGCCUCUACAUGUAAGCUAUCACUGAAGGAGGGGAUUGCGUCUGAUUAGCUAGUUGGAGGGGUAACGGCCCACCAAGGCGAUGAUCAGUAGCCGGUCUGAGAGGAUGAACGGCCACAUUGGGACUGAGACACGGCCCAGACUCCUACGGGAGGCAGCAGUGGGGAAUCUUCCGCAAUGGACGAAAGUCUGACGGAGCAACGCCGCGUGAGUGAUGACGGCCUUCGGGUUGUAAAGCUCUGUUAAUCGGGACGAAAGGCCUUCUUGCGAAUAGUGAGAAGGAUUGACG